UACGUAGGGGGCAAGCGUUGUCCGGAUUUAUUGGGCGUAAAGAGCGUGUAGGCGGCCAGAUAGGUCUGUUGUGAAAACUCGAGGCUCAACCUCGAGACGCCGAUGGAAACCAUCUGGCUAGAGUCCGGAAGAGGCGAGUGGAAUUCCUGGUGUAGCGGUGGAAUGCGCAGAUAUCAGGAGGAACACCAAUAGCGAAGGCAGCUCGCUGGGACGUUACUGACACUGAGGCGCGAAAGCGUGGGGAGCGAACAGG
rnacentral:rRNA from 1 species